UUGAACGCUGGCGGAAUGCUUUACACCUGCAAGUCGCGCGGCAGCGCGGCCUUCGGGCUGGCGGCGAGCGGCGAACGGGUGAGUAAUGCAUCGGAACAUGCCCAGUCGUGGGGGAUAACACUUCGAAAGAAGUGCUAAUACCGCAUACGUCCUGAGGGGGAAAGCGGGGGAUCGCAAGACCUCGCGCGAUUGGAGUGGCCGAUGUCAGAUUAGCUAGUUGGUGGGGUAAAGGCCUACCAAGGCGACGAUCUGUAGCUGGUCUGAGAGGAUGAUCAGCCACACUGGGACUGAGACACGGCCCAGACUCCUACGGGAGGCAGCAGUGGGGAAUUUUGGACAAUGGGGGCAACCCUGAUCCAGCCAUUCCGCGUGAGUGAAGAAGGCCUUCGGGUUGUAAAGCUCUUUCGGCAGGAACGAAACGGUGGGCUCUAACAUAGUCCGCUAAUGACGGUACCUGAAGAAGAAGCACCGGCUAACUACGUG
rnacentral:rRNA from 1 species